rnacentral:lncRNA from 1 species
GGGAUAGGCACAGUCUCAUAUGGACAUUUAAUACUACCAGUAUCAAAUUCCUAGCAGCAAUGAAAUCGCAGGUUUGAAAGGGAUAGGCACAGUCUCAUAUGGACAUUUAAUACUACCAGUAUCAAAUUCCUAGCAGCAAUGAAAUCGCAGGUUUUUAGGAGAUAGUAUAGACCAAACAUGGGUCAUGCAAUGCAAAAGACAAACUACUUCACCUAAAUUUUCUCGGUUGCAAAAGAAUAUAAAAAGCUAGCUUGAUGUUCCUCAACGAGUCAUCUCCAAAUCUGAAGUAUAUUUC